UACGAAGGGGGCUAGCGUUGCUCGGAAUUACUGGGCGUAAAGCGCACGUAGGCGGAUUGUUAAGUCGGGGGUGAAAUCCUGGAGCUCAACUCCAGAACUGCCUUCGAUACUGGCGAUCUAGAGUCCGGGAGAGGUGAGUGGAACUGCGAGUGUAGAGGUGAAAUUCGUAGAUAUUCGCAAGAACACCAGUGGCGAAGGCGGCUCACCGGCCCGGUACUGACGCUGAGACGCGAAAGCGUGGGGAGCAAACAGG
rnacentral:rRNA from 1 species